UGUUUUUUGUAACCUGCUGACUGGUGAAGGGACAACGUGUGCUCCUCAACACUUGGUUCUUGCCACGUGCCGCAGCAGACUGACAGCUUCCAGUGGGCCUGUCUGAGGGGAGUGACCUCCGCCGCAUUGCUUCAGCAGCCUUCAAGUCCCGGCAAUGAAACGGUUCGUGUGAGGAAGACUGCUUCUGGUGCUACUGGUGGAAAUUGUUACUAGUGUGUAAGUAUGUGGUAAAUAUCUGUGGAAACCAAAGGAUGUUUUCACUCGUACCAAACGUUAUGGUCAUGGAGAUACCUCUCUUCCUGCACACAAAACAACUACAACCACCUAAUUAUUACACACACACUCCUAUACCAGCCUCGGAGUCCCCAUCUGGUAACGACCCUAAAUGUCUUGACACCCCUCUCAGUUUUUCUUCUUAAACUUCUACAGAUUGAACGCGAAUGUUGCAGAACAUUGCCUCUCCUCUAUUAAGCUUCAUCAUCCUUUCCUCAAUGAAACCCUGGUGUCUGAGGCAACUGACAGUAGCCCCUUUUCAGUUUCCUUUUACUUUCUCUAUCCAAAGCUGGAUGUUGUGUUUAUGUGCGCAAUGAAAUUAACCUGCUUUCGUGCCCACGCUCUUGAAUCUUUUGGGUUUUCCACCACCUGGCUACGACAACAGAGUCCCUUUCAUACUAAAUUUAUCUGUGUUGUAUACCUUUCACCUAACUCCUCUGACUGUAAGAAAUUCUUUGACUACUUAACUUCCAAAGUGGAGCACAUUCUAACUCUCUUCCCUUUUACAGGGAUCUCCAUUCUUGGAGACUUCAAUGUUCACCACCAGCUUUGGCUUUCCUCUCCCUUCACUGACCAUCCUGGUGAACUAACCUUUAAAUUUGCUAUCCUCCAUGACCUAGAGCAAUUGGUGCAACACUCUAAUCGUAUUCCUGACCGUCUUAGAGAUAUGCCCAACAUUCUUGACCUUUUCCUGACCUCUAAUCCUUCUGCUUAUUCUGUUACCCUCUCUUCUCUGUUGGGCUCUCCGAUCACAUCUAGUAUCUGUAUCUUGUCCUAUCACUCCAAUCCCUCCUCAGGAUCCCCUAAGCGAAGGUGCCUCUGGCGUGUUGGCUAUGCUAGUUGGGGGAACCUGAGGAGGUAUUUUGCUGAUUUUCCUUGGAAUGACUACUGCGUCCGUGACGGAGACCGCCCUGUGUGCCGAGUGCAUAAGAGGUGAUAGUGUCUGGCAUGGAGGCGUACAUUCCUCACUCUUUUUCUCGACCUAAACCUCCAAAACUUGGUUUAACAUAGCUUGUUCUCGUGCUAUACAUGAGAGAGAUGUGUCCCACCAAAGGUGCUUAAGCCUUCCAUCACCAGAAUCUCAUGCACUUUACAUUUCUGCCCGGAACCAUGCCAAGUCUGUUCUCCAACUAGCCAAAAACUCCUUCAUUAAUAGUGUCAAAACCUUUCAAGAUCUAAGUGCCCCCGUGACUUCUGCCACUUAACCCAAAAACAUCUAUAAUAACUUUGAUUCUUCUUUCCCUCCUUUAUUUCAACCAGAUGGCACCACUGCUAUCACAUCUAUCUCUAAAGCUGAACUCUUUGCUCAAUCCUUUGCUACAAACUCUACCUUGGACGAUUCAAGGUUUGUUCCUCUCUCUCCUCCACUAGCGUAGACAAGACUGUCAGUAUACAAUGGACAUGACACACUGAGGCAUCUGGUACUGCUUUGGCUCUAAAUGUUAUAAUAAUACUCUGCCACUUUGUUGACGAGUGACAAUACAACCUCUCGUUCCUCAGACUGUUUUUUUCACGUAACAGCUUCAAACCAAAUCCUGAAAUACUGAACCAACAUGAACCACCUCUGCUAUCAAGUAGUCAGCACUGUGAAGGGCUGUACAGUUCCUUACCUCACUAAAUAAUAAUACUUUCUGAUCCAAUCUGUCUCUGUCUGUCUGCUGCCAUGGCUUGACCUGCUCUUCUUUCAUCUGUAGCUUCCAUUCUGUCUGCCGUCUCCCUGCAUCCUCUUUUCCACCACACCAUCCUCCCUUGUGUGUUUGCUGCCACUGUCUAUCUAGAAAAAAAUGUUUUCUGCCAAACCUUGAACUAGUACAACAUGAACCACCUGUGGUCUAAUCUUUCUCCAGCAUUUCUUCUGUCCACUGUCACUGUCUGAACCAGUCACCUAACACACCAUCCUUCCUGCCACGGUCAUCCCUCUCUGAUGCUCUUCUCUUUCUCCCUCUCUCAGCGUGGUGGCAGCACGGGCCUCGGCACUCCCUGGCACCACGGCAGGUGUCAGUGAGGCAGGCAGGUGUUGGUUCAAGUCCUGGCAGUGUCACUUCGCUGCUGUAUUGUUUGGUGCAGCGGAUGAUGCUACGUUUUUCAUCACUUAGUGUAGAGUUUAUUUUUGCUUGACGUUAUUUGUGUUGGUAAGGCAUUUCCACUAUAUUUUUGCUUGACGUUAUUUGUGUUGGUAAGGCAUUUCCACUAUAUAGUGGUAGAUAUUCUGGGAAAUAAGGAAUUAGCAAUACUAAGACAUGCUUGAACAACACUCACCAGUGUGGAAGACUUGUCAGGCAGUGGCUGUAGUGGCUUCACUUGAACCACGACCAUGUUCUCCUCAACCCUUGGAAAGAGAACAAUUCAUCUGAAAUGGAGAUACAAAGAUAUUGGGGAAAAUUUAAGAGAGAGACGCUGCAAAGUGUAGCUGACAGUGUGCGUGUCGUCAUCAAGAGGAGGGGCUCUAAAAUGAAACAGUAGGACACUCGUGAAGACAUUCAUACUAUCUUUUCUCAAGGGAAGUGUGUGUCGUGUGUGUUAACAACGUCAGGCGCGGACAUUUUUUGCAUCAAGGGUGAUGUACGAUCCGGACAUGAAAAAAGUUUUUUUUCUUUUAUAAUUUUCUAAUUUUUUUCCGCUUCUUUUGAUAUAUGUAACGUUUUGAUAAGAACUAAAAAAAUCCCCUUAUGUAAAGAGGUCUUCUGUUAUGAAAUUCCCACGGUUUCGCCCGCUGCGAGACAUGUCACACAAGUUUUUUUUACAUUUUUUUUUCUCUUUUCAUAUAUUUUUCUGACAUACCCGUUCUUCUUCACUCUCCCAUGAAUAACUACGGUUCUCUUGCUGCAUACAAUAUUAGAAAGCACGAAAUUCUAGGUCUAACUAUUUUCUCAAAUUGAUAUACGAAAAAAAAAUCACAUAAUUAUUAUUUUUUUUCGUAAAUCUAGCAAAUAGUUAAUGUAUCUGCAUUAGAUAUCUUUUGCAUUAAUAUUUUAUUUAUUUUCAAACAAUUAAACACUGGUUUUUACUUAGAAAUAUGGCGAAAUAUAACAAAAAUUGUUUUCACCCGCCUUCUCCCCUCCCACCCGGUAAUUAAGGGUGAAAUCAUGAAUAGCUUUAGGCCUUAUACACAAAACCAAUCGGAGUAACUAAAACUAUGUCUGCUUUUUCAACAUAUUCUGAUGUAUAUAUCGCGUGAAUUUCAAGUCCCUGGCUGCAAUAGGUGAAUUAGUCACCCCUUAAACUUUAUGACAUAAUAUCUCAAAAUGGCGGAUUUUAGCAUAUAAAAAUGAUCUGGUCCGUUGUUAUUGGUGUUACACACAGAUGGGCUAUUGCGGCUUAUCAAACUGUGAGAGGCGAAUAAAGUCUGCUGUCGUCAUUUUUGUUUGGAGUUGAUUUUGAUUUUUGACAAAUAUUUGUUUUUUUUUUUUACUUUUCAUCGAAAAAAAAUCGUACAAUAAAAGAAAAAAGAUAGCAGACUUUGUUCUCCUAUCCUUCCUGAUCAAAAUACUUUUUAAAUAAAUGAGGGAGGAGAUACGAGUUGAACACAGGCAAUUUAACAUGGGAUUAGCGAUCCUUCAACCACCCUCAAGUGUAUGAAUAAAGGUGAUUAGUUACUUUGAUGUGGAAAGACUGUAAUUUGUAAAGAUGAGAAUAAAUGAGAAUAAAUUA